GAUGAACGCUGACAGAAUGCUUAACACAUGCAAGUCUUUGGCGAAGCUGUGCUCGCACAGCCUAGCCAAGGCGGACGGGUGAGUAACGCGUAAGGAACUUGGCCUGCAGUCAGGGAUAACAGACGGAAACGACUGAUAAGACCUGGUAAAGUCAGGCGGACUCAUGUCCAGCCUGAUGAAAAGAGAUGCUGCAGGAGAGCCUUGCGUCCUAUUAGCUUGUUGGUGGGGUAACGGCCCACCAAGGCGAUGAUAGGUAGCCGGCCUGAGAGGGUGGACGGCCACAAGGGGACUGAGAUACGGCCCUUACUCCUACGGGAGGCAGCAGUGGGGAAUAUUGGACAAUGGGGGCAACCCUGAUCCAGCAAUUCUGCGUGCACGAUGAAGGUUUUCGGAUUGUAAAGUGCUUUCAGCAGGGAAGAAAAAAAUGACGGUACCUGCAGAAGAAGCGACGGCUAAAUACGUG
rnacentral:rRNA from 1 species